AUUGGACGCUGGCGGCAUGCUUUACACAUGCAAGUCGAACGGCAGCGCGGGCUUUGGCCCGGCGGCGAGUGGCGAACGGGUGAGUAAUACAUCGGAACGUGCCCAGUAGUGGGGGAUAGCUCGGCGAAAGCCGGAUUAAUACCGCAUACGACCUGAGGGUGAAAGCGGGGGAUCUUCGGACCUCGCGCUAUUGGAGCGGCCGAUGGCAGAUUAGCUAGUUGGUGGGGUAAAGGCCUACCAAGGCGACGAUCUGUAGCUGGUCUGAGAGGACGACCAGCCACACUGGGACUGAGACACGGCCCAGACUCCUACGGGAGGCAGCAGUGGGGAAUUUUGGACAAUGGGCGAAAGCCUGAUCCAGCAAUGCCGCGUGUGUGAUGAAGGCCUUCGGGUUGUAAAGCACUUUUGGCGGGAACGAAAAGGACUGUGCCAAUACCACGGUUCGAUGACGGUACCCGCAGAAUAAGCACCGGCUAACUACGUG
rnacentral:rRNA from 1 species